ACUUCUCUGACCUUAACCUGGAUGAGUAAACAGGAGUCUUCUGGCCGCUCUGAGACCUCAGGACCCACAAAUUACCUGGCUGAUUCUGCAUGGAAAAGCCAGAGACCUGGGACAGAGUCUGACAAGGGGACCAUCAAAGACAUAAGAGGAGGUAACAGAACCCUCAACAAGGUCCUCACAGCAGCCAGAGCAGGAGAAGGAGACAGGUAUAUCCCAGGAGCCUGGACGGGAAGCUUGAUCCUCUUCCUUGGGUCUCAGCAGCAGGCCAAGUACAAUAAAGCAGAUCACAACAGGCCCAGUGGACUUAGUAAAACCCGGAGGCUGCAGAGGCUGGGCAGGUGGAAGGCAAAUGGGGUUGCCAGUAGGAAAGUGCAGAGACAAGAACAGACAGCUCAGGGAGGCCUCCUGGAGGGAAGGGAAGGCAGGGAGACAGAUACCUGCAGAGAUCCCACCCCAGAAAGCUUUUAUUCCUUUGGUUGGCUUGCACACAUUUGCUGAGAUUUUUUUUGUUGUUGUUUCUAUCACAGCUGUGAGAGCUCUCCAAGUUCCUGAGGUAAGGGGGAACAAUGAGAGGAUGAAGAAAAUAGAGACAGAAUGCUGGGGUCAGGUGGAGCCCUUCCUCCAGAUGGGAGGAAGAGACUGUUCAACCCCUGCAAUGUGUUUGUUUAUACACUUGUCAAGUCACGCCCCUUUGCUGAAUUAGCUCCCUUUUUACACCCUGCAUCCUUGGGGGUACAAUACUUCUUCCCCUCAACAUCCCAUUUCUCAGGGCAUUUCUCAGGCACUGCAUGCCCUUGGGACACUCCUGUUUGGGCACUUGUGCUUUGGGCGUCACACAUGUCGAUGAUCACAAGCUUAGCAGCUCCCAAUCCUUUCUUUACAAAGUAAAUUUUAAUGGCACAAAGGAAAAGUGAACACCUCACCACAGCCUCUAUGGAAGAGGACAGGAGGGAAGGAGAAGGAGAGAAGGAGACCCUAAGGCACAUGCCCAAGCUUGUGGACUCACACAGAAACACACAGGAUUCUUUCCCUGCAGCCUUGAUGCUCCUGUCACCUGCGGCUGGGUCUCCGGUCAUGAAGGGAAUGCUGUGCCCUGUAGGACACUGAGCUGCCUCCCUGGCCUCUACCCACCCAUAGCAUUUUUUGUUCACUCCUCCCACAUUCCUAGUUUGAACUCCAAAAAUAUUUCCAGACCCUCCAGUCCUUUCAGGUUGCUAUGACAAGAGCUCAUUAACAGGGUGGCUGUAGACAACAUUCAUCCUCGCUGUCUGGAGUGUGAGAGAUCUGCGUUGAUCAGUGCUCAUCAUCCAGCUGUUCCAUGUGAUGGCAGGGGACUAACCCCAUUCUCCAUGAGGUACAUGGCUUAAUCUCCCAAUGCCGUCACUUUGGCGGGAAGAAUUUCCACAUGAGACUCACUGGCAGGACACAGACAUUCAGACCACCACAGCCUGUGCUUGUCAGGUACCUCGGGGUGUGCAGAAGUCACUGUGAAAACUGUGCUUCAAGAAACCCCACAGUACACUGCAAACACAUGAGAUCCACAGCUUGGUUGUGGGUCACUACUUUGCUUAUUCUGGGAUCAUUCAUAAUUUGAUUUAAACAGAGGUUGGAACUUUGGAAUUACAAAAAUACAAGGGAUGACCGAAAUACGUGGUCAGUGUUUAAAUUUUAAAAAUGUUAUUAUAGUAAAAGACACAGUGGUAUUAGUUCCCCUCAGAAUACUCCUCCCUUCAGAUACACUUUGCUCAUCAUUCUUGCCGCUUUAUGGAGCAGUUCUGGAAGUCUUUCCUGUCUUUGUGGGGAGUAGUUGAACAUGUAAAUGCUGCUGAGGAGUUCUAUCCAAUGGGAAGGCGAGUUUGUGCAAACACCUGUGUCCUCACCUGAGUUAGACUCACGGGAUCUGGCACUGGGUGACUCUUCCCCGAAGUCAAAAUGACCAUGAACAUUUUGAUUUGAUUCAGGACACCCAGGCAAUCAAAACACUGCAGCUAAAGACACUGAGGACUCCCAGAGCUGCUAUAGAAAGCAGCAAGCACAAUGGGAUGUGGUCAACCUGAGAAGUCCUUUGAGGGGAAUUACUGGCAAUGUGUCUUGUACUGAAAUAUUUUUUUUACUGUAAUUUUUUUUAAAUUUAAGCAUUCUGUAUAUUUUUCAAUCACAUCUUGUAAGUCACAACAGCAGCUAACAUUUAUUGAGGGCUUAAAAGCUUUCAGGGAUAUAAGUCUGUUCCACAUAACCAUGGGAGGGGCUGGGAAUUGAUAUUAUCCACCUUUUGCAUAUGAGUAAACCAAGGCAUGGGGAAUCUUUUUUCAACAGAGCUAAAGUAAUUCAGGUGGGAUUUGCACCUGAGCCAACUGACUUGGCGUCAGAGGCAAAGGAGAGGGUGUAUUCCAUGCAGUGACACUUCUCCACAUCAGGGAAGGAAGCCAUCUGUUUAUAGCAUUUUCUGGGGACAGUGGGUAGCAGGAUAAGGCUGCCCAUUAUGACAGUCAUAUGUAGGUGUUGAGCCUGUCAAAGGUGGCAGGGCAUGGUGGCCUGUAAUCCCAGCACUCAGGCAGCUGAGGCAGGGGGACCCUGAGUUUGAGGCCGGCCUGAGCUACCCAAAAAACUCUGUCCAGACAGGGAAGGCAGUGAGGCUGAGGAACUUUUAAUUAGAAUUCAUCCCAAGUGGAACAGUAGCAGGUGGUGAGUGGCCCUGCAUUGGAGUAGAGAACAUGCGAGGCACCUCUGCAGGACCGUGCACAGGAGCACCUGUCCAUCCUGGCUCAUCUGGAACACAGGCAGGGAGGCUCGCAGGUCUCAGCCCCAGAAAGACGUCAGCAUCGAAAGGCUGGGCCCUGUUCUGGAAGAAUCCUAAGAUCACCCUUGGUAUCAAAGACCAGCCAGUGACAACAGUCCCCCUGGGCAGGUAAGGAAACUGAGUCAUCCAGGCAGGGCCCUGCCAAGGUCCAGAGUCUGGACUGGGCUGGAAGUCAGGGGCUGGAAGUGCCCAAUCUCUCUACAGCUGGUUGAGGGUAGGUGUGGCCUCGAGAGAAAUUAAUACACCAUCAGAGACAGAGGGCUCUAGAGGAAGUCAGCACAGAAAUAAAGAGUUGUGGUUAGAGGAGCAUCUGAAGGCCACACCCUGAGAUGAUGUAACAACACACAGGCCUGCCUCCUGAAGGGAUGAGCAAUCACUUGGAAUUAUUCUGUAAUUAGCACCCCCUGGUUGGGGAGGUCCAGAGAGCCACCAGUCACCCAGGUGGGGCACCAGAGCAUUGGACCCCUCCCUUUCCAGAAUGCCUUUGUCCUCCCAUGAUCUCUUGCCAUGUGAGCCACUUCCCUGUGGUUCAAUAUUUGCUGAGCAGCUACACUUGCACUACUAUAGGUUGAUUGUAUCUGGACUUGUGUUGUACCCACAUUGUGACUUUGCUGAAUAAAUCAGCCCUGAUGUAAGGCCUCAGUGGAGCUACUUUCAGGACAUAUCCUGUCUCCCAGGAGGUAUUUCUCAAUAAACCUUUAUAUUCUUAGCUUCCAUUGUCCU
ensembl:lincRNA